rnacentral:rRNA from 1 species
GAUGAACGCUGGCGGCGUGCCUAAUACAUGCAAGUCGAGCGAACGGACGAGAAGCCUGCUUCUCUGAUGUUAGCGGCGGACGGGUGAGUAACACGUGGAUAACCUACCUAUAAGACUGGGAUAACUUCGGGAAACCGUAGCUAAUACCGGAUAAUAUUUUGAACCGCAUGGUUCAAAAGUGAAAGACGGUCUUGCUGUCACUUAUAGAUGGAUCCGCGCUGCAUUAGCUAGUUGGUAAGGAACGGCUUACCAAGGCAACGAUGCAUAGCCGACCUGAGAGGGUGAUCGGCCACACUGGAACUGAGACACGGUCCAGACUCCUACGGGAGGCAGCAGUAGGGAAUCUUCCGCAAAGGGCGAAAGCCUGACGGAGCAACGCCGCGUGAGUGAUGAAGGUCUUCGGAUCGUAAAACUCUGUUAUUAGGGAAGAACAUAUGUGUAAGUAACUGUGCACAUCUUGACGGUACCUAAUCAGAAAGCCACGGCUAACUACGUG